CAAGUAAAGUGGCGUACGGGUGAGUAACACGUGGAUGAUCUGCCUUUUAGUGGGGAAUACCGCUGGGAAACCGGCGACAAUACCGCAUAAUCCCGAGAGGGGAAAGCAAUUAAAUGCGCUGAAAGAGGAGUCCGCGGUCGAUUAGUUAGUUGGCAGGGUAAAAGCCUACCAAGACUGUGAUCGAUAGCCGGCCUGAGAGGGCACACGGCCACACUGGCACUGAAACACGGGCCAG
rnacentral:rRNA from 1 species